CUUGGUCAUUUAGAGGAAGUAAAAGUCGUAACAAGGUUUCCGUAGGUGAACCUGCGGAAGGAUCAUUAUCGAAAUAAACCUGAGCAGGCUGUUUUGCUGGUCCUCUCAAGGGACAUUGUGCACGCUUGUCGUCUUUAUUUUUCCAACCGUGCACAUAUUGUAGACCUGGAGUUUUUCUUAUCGUUCGAAUAGAUUGAGGACUGCCGUCUCGGCUUUGCCUUGUAUUUUCCAGGUCUAUGUUGCAAACACAUUUUCACAACAUGUCUCAGAAUGUCGAGUACCGGGGAUAACAAAUAUACAACUUUCAGCAACGGAUCUCUUGGCUCUCGCAUCGAUGAAGAACGCAGCGAAAUGCGAUAAGUAAUGUGAAUUGCAGAAUUCAGUGAAUCAUCGAAUCUUUGAACGCAUCUUGCGCUCCUUGGUAUUCCGAGGAGCAUGCCUGUUUGAGUGUCAUCAAAAGUUCUCAACCACACCGGUUUCUCUGGUGUGGCUUGGAUUUGGGGGUUUGCAGGCUUUCAAGUCGGCUCUCCUGAAAAAGAUUAGCGGUAUCUGAGCAGAAACCAAGCCUCGGGCGUGAUAAUUAUCUAUGCCUUGGUGUAUAAUCUGUGUGGGCUGCUUAUAACCGGAGAGUGUUGACAGAUUUGACCUCAAAUCAGGUAGGACUACCCGCUGAACUUAAGCAUAUCAAUAAGCGGAGGA
rnacentral:rRNA from 1 species